rnacentral:ribozyme from 15 species
GAACAUUUUGCAAUUCUCCAUCCGCAAAAACAAAGAAAUAAAGCAUGAAGAAACUAUAAAACGAUGGGGCAUCGGAUAUUUGACAUUUAUUCUCCUUGAAAUCAUCAUGUUAAGUUAUAGCCAAUAUGGUUUUUGUUUCUCA